rnacentral:lncRNA from 1 species
UCGGAGGGUCUUCAUCGGAGAAUUUUUCGAUGAGGACUUUUUGCAGGUAUUCAGGUGGAGCUCCAGCAAUAAUUUUUUCUUCGGUCAUCUCCACUUCGGCAGUCGAUCUCAAAUGGAGAGAUCAGGAGCAACAAUAAUACAUACAUACAUAUAGAUACUAUAUACAUGCAGGUAUGUAUGCUGCAAAAAAAGAAAAUAAGGAGGAGGAA